rnacentral:rRNA from 1 species
CCUACGGGGCGCAGCAGUGAGGAAUAUUGGUCAAUGGUCGGGAGACUGAACCAGCCAAGCCGCGUGAGGGAUGAAGGUACAGAGUAUCGUAAACCUCUGUUGUCAGGGAACAAAGGCGGGGACGCGUCCCCGGAUGAGUGUACCUGAAGAAAAAGCAUCGGCUAACUCCGUGCCAGCAGCAGCGGUAAACCGGAGGAUGCGAGCGCUAUCCGGAUUUAUUGGGUUGGAAGGGUGCGCAGGCGGUCUUUUAAGGCAGCGGUCAAAGCCAGGGGCUUAACCCCGGCCCGCCGUUGAAACUGGCAGUCUCGAGUUGGAGAGAAGUAUGCGGAAUGCGCGGUGUAGCGGUGAAAUGCAUAGAUAUCGCGCAGAACUCCGAUUGCGAAGGCAGCAUGCCGGCUCCACACUGACGCUGAGGCACGAAAGCGUGGGUAUCGAACAGGAUUAGAUACUGUAGUC